rnacentral:tRNA from 1 species
GGGCUGGUAGUUCAGUUGGUAUGAAUGCUGCCUUGGCAGGGCAGAGGUCGGGGGUUCAAAUCCCUCCCAGUCCACCA